rnacentral:lncRNA from 1 species
CCAUGGGGCAUCACACUGUUGGCUUAAAGUUGCACCGUAAAGGGGACCGAUCCCCCGAACCUGGACAGACUUGGGCCCAUGAAGUCUUCAGUUCCCGUAGCUCUGAGGUGGUUCUGAGCGGGGAUGAUGAGGACUACCAGCGCAUCUACACCACAAAGAUCAAGCCACGCCUGAGGUCAGAGGAUGGAGUAGAAGGGGACCUUGGG